UACGUAGGGUGCGAGCGUUAAUCGGAAUUACUGGGCGUAAAGCGUGCGCAGGCGGUGAUGUAAGACCGAUGUGAAAUCCCCGGGCUUAACCUGGGAACUGCAUUGGUGACUGCAUUGCUGGAGUAUGGCAGAGGGGGGUGGAAUUCCACGUGUAGCAGUGAAAUGCGUAGAGAUGUGGAGGAACACCGAUGGCGAAGGCAGCCCCCUGGGCCAUACUGACGCUCAUGCACGAAAGCGUGGGGAGCGAAACAAGGAU
rnacentral:rRNA from 1 species